rnacentral:lncRNA from 1 species
CAAGCACCCACCCGCAUCCCUGCCACAAAUGCAGCUGCAGAGCCACCAAUGCACACACUGAGGUGGGUACUGGGUCAGCCUGUGCCCCAAGGCCGGGGCUCCUGGGAGGAGCUCUGAAGAAGGGUGCCAGGCUGGCACUCAGUGAAAGCAUCCCAGAGGAGGGAGCAUUGAAUCUGACCCCAGGAAUGGGCAUACGGGGUGCCAGGUGAAGUAGGGUGUGGGGCAAGAGUUUUCAAGGAAGAGGAGCAGCCUGUGCGAAGGCCUGGAGACAGACCGGAGCUUGGGGGACUCAAGACAGUUUUCGGCACGGUGGAAAUGCGGAGUGGGCGGCAGGGCCCUAUGGGAGACAAGGCUUUCUUUAGUUGUGGGCAGAGCUGGGAGUGAGUGCACGGUGACAGAAGCACAGACAAAACACCAGCAAGUGGACAGAAGUCACCGGAGUGCCAGCACAGUGCCUUUUAAAUGACUUGGAGAGAC